AUGCCGUGCCGGACAGCUGCGCGCAAUACGCCGAAAGGUAUUUGCGUGAGGAAAGUCCGGGCUUCAUAUGGGCGGGAUAACAGAUAACGUCUGCCGAGGGAAACCUCAGGGAAAGUGCAACAGAAAAUAACCGCUGCUUUUGCAGUAAGGAUGAAAAGGCGAGGUAAAAGCUCACCGGCGCACUGGCGACUUUGCGGCCGUGUAAACCCUAUCCGAAGCAACGCCUGCGGAGCGUCAUUUUGACAAUGCUGCCCUGCAUAUCCGCUGGCGGCACAGAGCUUUAUGGCGACAUAAAGCCAAGAUAGAUAGCUGUCUAAAACAGAACCCGGCUUACAGGCACGGUAAUAUU
rnacentral:RNase_P_RNA from 1 species